rnacentral:misc_RNA from 1 species
UGUGGGAGGGGGCUUGCUCCCGAUAGCGGUGGGUGAGGUGAAUUUCUCUGGCUGACACCCCGCUAUCGGGAGCAAGCCCCCUCCCACA